AGCACAACCAGCAGGAGGAACACACAAAUUAAGAUUUCCUCUGCACUUGAGGAAUGAGAAGACCAGCAUCUCUUCUCCAGGUUUCUUGUAGCUUGCUCCUCUGUCACUCCACCAAAAUGCCACAGCAAAUCCUCUGGCAUAAGCUCGGUGUGAGUUCAUGGAUCAGAGGAGGGGAGGAGAGUAAGAGAAACGCUGUCUCAUGUUGGCAAGAGGGCUGUAUCAUGCAGGAGAAGCCAUGGUGGUCACCUUUCAAGAUUUAUCUGUUAUGACAUGAUGAUGCUUGAGGCUGGAUUAAGAAUUCCAGAAAGACUAGAGUGGCAGGAGAACAAAGGGUUUGUCAGUAAACACAGAGACCAAUAUCAUCACCUUCAGCCUUCUGAAACUGCUGCAUCGAAAGGUCUCAAAGAAAUAGACCCUACAGAUUCAACACUCAAACAAAGCACCCCAUGUCCUACAAGUAUUCAUUGAAGACAGCAGGGGGAAAAAGGAAGAGAAGCCCUUCUGCCUCAAUCAAUGAUACUGCUUUUUAACAAUGAGGGAGGACACCACCACCUCUUACAACAGAAAGGGAGGGGGAAUUUGUAUGCCUCUGGAUGAACAGCAGUACUAAAGCGUUUAGCCAUGAGGCCACUGUAUCACGAACAACAAUACAGAGUGAUAUAUUUUUUUCAAAUUUACAUGUUUGCACUGCUCAUAUCAGAAUCCUUAUGUGGACAGAUAUUUUUUUCAAAUAGCCAGUCUGGCUCAUUUCACUCCUUCA